GAUCCCCGAGCCACCGUAUAAGAAGUCCAGCUACCCUGAGGCCGUGGACUGCAGCUGCACUCCAGUCUUUAAGCCCAGCUGUGCUCGGGUGUCUCACUUUCUACACCCCACCCUCAGCAUCAGAUAUACUCUAUCUCAGAAGCAAAAAGCCAUCCAUGAACAAAGACCUGGGACCAAGCCGACUCAUAAUACUAGUGGGAAACGGCCCCACCAGCAGCCCGCACCUGCAUCCUGCUCUCCCGCUGCCUCACUGGACCCUUGCAGUUAACUGGGACUUCAGCAGAGCAGAGCCUCAUCUUACGGAGGUCAAGUGUCCCACUGCUGCAGGGCCUUCAACCUGGAUCAUCCAGGUCUUCACAGGACUCCUCCCCCAGAAUGAUGCCUCCUUUGACAAUAGCUGGAGAUGUCAGAAAUGAGAUCAUUACUCAGCACUGGAUGCAGUGACAUGAGGACCAAGCAGAUGAGUUUUGUUUAUUCUGUCCUGUGCUGUAUACCCAGAGCCUGGAACAGUGCCUGGUACACAGUAGGGCACCUGCUGACCGGGUGCAGUUCAUGGCCACCACCUCUAGCUACCUGUGAUUGGAGAUAAGACAGUAAUGAGGCCAGACUUCUUCAAGAAUCCUUUGAGCUUCCUAACACACAGCUGUGCAGCCUGUGCUGCGUUACUUACCAUAGCCCCAGCU